rfam:Crenothrix polyspora isolate RSM_CP1 genome assembly, contig: CRENPOLYSF1_Contig_108
CGCACCGUGCAGCAAUGUUCGGUGUGAUGCGGCAGAAGUCAGCAGAGGCCAUAGUAGCUCUAAUGGUGUCAAAAGAGUGAAGGGC